CAUUGGCUGGCUUUUGGUUUUUGGUUUUACUUGUCUUCUCAACAUUCAACACAACAGAACACUAUCUUCACAUGCAUCUGACUGGGCCAACUGAGACACUGUUCCCAGGUCUGCCUGCCAGUAAAGCUUCCAUCAGUCAGACUCUGCAGUCUUCCCCGCGACCUCCCUGACGAUGGCUAUU